UUUCCGUUUUUUCCUUCUCCUAUUGCGCUUUACAUACGUUUUGGGGUAUAUAAAUGGUUGGCAAAGUUACAAUACCAUAAAAUUCCCGCAAGGGGGAGCAAAUGACUACCGAAAAUCACUGUUACCGAGCUACCUAGAAACGGCUCGUUAGGAUUUUCUCCGCGGCUUUCUUUUACUUCCGGUACAUGGUGACGUAAGCAUGUACUUUUGCUGGGAGUCAAUGGGAGAGCGUCAUCAAUGACCUUUUGCUGCGUUCCUGGACACGCUGGGGUCGGGAAUGGAUCGUAAAACAAGAGUUUGAGUAGAGAAGUAGAUGGACAGAAAGACAAAAUACUAUUUAUAUAUAUAUAUAAUAUUGGCUAGAAGGUGUUUUCUUGGUGGUGAAGGGACCUCUCCCUUGUAUGGUUUGCCAAAGGCAGAGCCUUCACGUAGCCGUUGGCUAGAUUUCAUUUUUAACCCUAUUCCACCGACUUUACGGAGCCUUUUUCUGUGUCCCCUCCACUUCACGGAUGGCUGCUUCAGCAACCUGCGUGAAGAUGACUCUCAACAUGUAAGUAAACAUAUACUGAUAAUAACAAAAGUGGCUGUGUUGUGUGUAAUAUAAGUUGGGGUAAUUAACCCUACCAUUUCCUACCAUAAAAUAAUUCAUUCUGUAGCUAGCUGCUAGUCUUGUUGCGAGGCUGGUUAAUCUUCCACAAACCUUUUGCGGGAUCUCUAACUACAAUUCUAAACUGUCUGUAAAAUGAGAGCUAGCCUUAGCCUUAUGUGAGGUGUUACUAUAAGGUGGGUCACAGUUCCUGUUUCAGAUGUUGUUAGCUUGUACUGUGUAAAAUCAUUUUUUGUCGUGAUUUAUGUGUGAUAAUUUUAGCAGGACUGCAGUGCCCAUAAUUGCCCCUUUCAACACGUCGGAUGCCAGACUGAAACGCAUCAGAUUAUAUUGACGGGAACCCAAACAAACUCGCCGGUGGGAAUGCAUUCUGUGGGAAUACAAAGUGCACGGUUGAAGUCGACAUCAGGCGGCACACAGUUGUCCAUGGGAUCGAUAAAGGCACACGUAAGAAGCAAAGCCAUGCAGACACAGGUGUCUCCUGUCAGUGCAGACUUCGGAACAACCUCUUUUGCCACACUCACUGCUGACUUCAACACCAAUAAAGGGCCCAGGCUGGUGACCUAGCAAGAGACCACGGCUUGAGUUGGAGGAAGAGGAGGAGAGUGACUCCUCAAGUCAUUCCACAGUCUUGAUACUGUGUUUUGCUCCAAAGAAUGUGUUUUUUCCCUUCAUGGGAAUGUUGUGCAGGUAAUAAUUUACACCAUCUCGUAAUUGUGAAAGCCAUUGAUUGGAAUGAUUGUCAGGCACACUCGGUGUUGUUUAAUGGCGGUGCUUUUUUUUUUACCAUAAGUUGUAUCUUGCAUCAAUGCACCACAAUGAAAAUGCAUCACAGGAGCAAGCUACGACUUCUGCAGGGCAGGCGAAGAGUGGGGAAGGUGUUGUGAAGGCCGUGAAAACAGAUCCAACAUUCAACUAUAUACAUGACCUCAUGAGGCUGCUCAUGGAGGUUUUUGAGGACCCAACAUCAUUUGAAGAGGAAAUGAAGACUAUCCCCAUCCCUCCAGACCUUUCAGCGGAAUAUACACACACUCCCAAGGCUGAGCUGGUUGCCCGUCACGUCUCCCGCUUCAAUCAAAAGGUGGUCUGAAUCCUACGAAGUCACCAGAUGGGAACUGCUGCCAUAUCCGCUGCAGCACACAUGACGGGAUGACGACCCGACAACUAUGUCCUAAAUAUCCCCAACACCAGCUUACAAAGCUGCGAUAGGCAAGAUGCCUGAAACGCCUAAGGGACAAGGAGCGGAACUUUCUGUUAAACUGUUUUCAACAAUAACCUCUUAUAGGCUGUGCCUAUACUGGGCCUUACUGUGCAGCCCCCACCUCCAAACGAAACCAACUCUUUUUGAAUGGUCUGACCAUGCUCAACAUAAAAAAAUAGUUGGCUUUGUUAGGAGGUGAGGGUGCACGGUAACGCCCUGAUUCCA